CAGUGAAGAAGUAUCAAAAUGCAAUCAAUGUAAAGCUUGGAAUCAACAUGAAAAAAUAUUUCUUCGGACUCCACAUGCUAAUGUGGACAUGCAACAAGCUGCUGUAAAGCCAACUGAAAGCCUUGCUUAUAGAAAGCCCCUGAUUGGGCAUUUAUCACUAAAAGUACCCAUUUUACCUCAGACGGGAAUGAAGCCAGAUGAGUAUUUUGGAUUUGAUGACAAGCUGAGUAAAUGUAAUGAAGAUGGAAGAACCUGCAGUGAUCUCCAGUCCUGUCAGAAGCAUGCAAGGAGAAAGACUGGAGAGACGCCCUAUCAGUAUGAGCAAUGUGGAAAAACCUGCUCUAAACUUGAUGCAGGAACUCACCCUGGAGAGAAGACUUUUGUAGGUGUCCCGCGCUGAGGUACAUCUGAUGGAGUCUGGCGGGAAGCUUGGUGCAGUCUGGGGGGUUCCUGAGAGUCUCCUGCGCUGUCUCUGGAUUCACCUUCAGUGGUCAGCAGAAGAACUGGGUCUGCCAGGCUCCACUGAAGGGCCUAGAGUAGGUUGGUCUUAUUAGAAACAAGGCUAAUAGUCACACAACAGAUUACGCUUUGUGAAAGUGGGAAUCACCAUCUCCAGGGAUGACUCCAAAAGCACAAUGUUUCUGCAAAUGACCACCCUGAACGUCGAGAAGACAGCUGUGUACUACUGUGCAGGAGACACAGUGAGGUGACAUCGGCGUGAGCCCAGACACAAACCUCCCUGCAAAAUUUUUAUUAUAGUAUUCUAUAUAUAAAAGCACACACAUAUAAAAUAUAUAAAAUCAUUCAUUAUGUAAUGUAUACUACAGUAUACAUUAUUUAUUAUGUUUUACAUAUUUAUAUAUUACAAAAUAAUACAUACACAAAAUGUACAAAGUAUGCCAAAAAUUGUGCCGACUUCAGGAAAAGAAAAAUAGUAUUAUGUGUUUUAGAAGAAGUGGGGCACCAAAGAGGACAUUAUAUAUCACUGAAAACCCACUACACUGCUGGGCAGUAGAGAAGAAAUUGAAAAUACAUUUAACAUGGUGUCCUCCUGUUCUAUCCACUUUGCUGAAAAGUACACAAUUUCAAUUUUUAAAGGAUGUGGAGAUUAGAGUACUCUGUAAAUUAUUAUACAUCAUUUUACAUUUUAUUCAUCUCUUCUCUGUUACAUAUUAAUAAUAUCUGAAUUCUUCCUUCUAUAAAAUUUCAGCGUACUUUUCCUUUUCUUGGUCACUGACGGGUGAACACAGAUGUUGCACUGGAGUGCUUGUCACUGUGGAAUGCAGAUGUUCAUCACUACAAGCGUCUUAUUCUCACUAAUUCUUUCUACUGUAUACGAAUAGUUUUCAUACUGUUUUACUUUUCAUCUUGGAGAUGCUAUUGAAUUCCUCCUUCAUUAAUUAUUUCAUCCAAGCAUUGCUUGAAAGUGUAUUGUUUGAUAUGUAUAUCCUUAAUUCAUGUUCCACUUAAAUAACACAAUGUCACAAACUGGAAACUCAUAAUUUAGAGUUAACUGUCCCCCAGAGGUGCACAUAGUAAAGCUGUGUUCCCUAGGGUGGUUCCAUGGGGAAGUGGUGAAUUAUUUUAGAGGUGGUUCAAUGUAGUUUAGACUUCCUAAUUUACCUCAUUAUUCUAUAUGCAGUCCUGUAAUAGUAGCUCAUUUAAUGUUUAAUAUUAUCAGAUGAAAAUGUUUUCAAAUCAAAGUUUGAAUGUCCUCUAACAAUUUACUGUAAAUGAUAUUUCAUUACUCUGCCUCAUUUACCUUGACAUGAAUUUCACAAAAACUCAUUCUACAGGAAGAAAGCUAGAAAACUAGGAGGAAAGGGAGGAAGUGACAAAGGAAGGGAGGUAGGAAAGAAGAAAGGAAGGAAGAAAGAGAAUAAACUGCUUGGAUAUAGUUUGGAAUUCCAUUAAACUGGCGAAUAGUUUGAAAAAACUGCAUCAAUAAUGAUUUAUUAUUUAUCAACCAUUUAUAUACAUUUUAAUAUUUAUUAGUGAUACUUUAUUCUAGUUUUACAAUUUUGAAUAUUGAUUUUUUUUCUGUGUAUUUUACAUGAUUCAACCUGUGGCAAAUAAAAAUUAUGCUUUGCACUGA
rnacentral:lncRNA from 1 species